AGGCCCGGAGAGAGAAGCAGGGUCUGAUCUGCAGCCUCCGCGGCAGCUGUUGAUCAGCCCUUGCCUCUCUGUCUCUCCA
rfam:Myotis davidii contig3614, whole genome shotgun sequence.